AGUUCUUUUGCACCGCACGUGACCAACCGUGCUAGGAGGUGUACAGUGUUUUCUGUGAACGGAUUUAUUGAAAAACUGACAGACUGAUCGGUCGAAUUUCCAGGAAGGCACGAUUUCAAAAAAAAAAAUGUCAACAGGGUUUGCGCACCUGGGAUCGGCGGUGCGUGAAGACCAGGUCCGAUAGAACAGCGUCUGGGGGACCGUUCCCGCAGCUGUUACUCGACCUUGCUCGAUCGAUGUCACCUGAGCUAAACGUUGAGGUCCAUGGAGUGUGCUGCUCAAACAAGCGAUGAGGCAGUGCUCGUCUCCUCUUCACAUCCCCGACACAGCGGUGGAAAUUCCACAUUCCUAUGGCAGGGAAAGACCACGUCGGCUCGAACCGACCGAGGACGGCACCGCCGCGGUGUUCAUAGCGGUCGCUCUCUUGAGCCGCGAGCGCCGCCGUCGCCCAAGCUGCGACGGCCUCCGUUGUCUGCCAGCUCGUCCGGGUCCAGGUCCACUGAAGAUGAGGGCAUCUAAGCGGGCUCCCCUUCCCUCCCCGCCCACACCAGCAAACACGCGCUGGCGGAGUGUCGCUGGGCGCCACAUUAUAAACAGCACGUCGGCUUGCCCUGUGGGGCCAGGCUGACCCGUCCUCGUCGUCUGCGCGCUCAGACUGUUUACGCUGUGUGCGCGGAGCAGUUUCUAACAGCAGUGUCAAAUGUUCGCACAGAGCAGCCCCAACCACACCCCCUCUCCACCCACCAAUGAUUAUUUCCGCUGUUUACAGCGAGGAAACCUAAAUUGCAAUGUAAUUUAUAGUUCCCCUGUCAGCAUUUUAUUCAUUGACGGUGGUUGUCCCUGUGGUAGGACUGGUUAGCAACCAUAGGAAUGUGGAAUUUCCACCACUGGCAGCCAAUGGAGAUGAGCAUUGUCUCAAUGUUCGUUUGAGCGUGGGGACACUUGAUUUGUUAAUUCACUUUGCAUAUAUGGGAAUCUCAAUGACUUUAAAUGAUGCGUUAAGAAACAAUAAAAUGGC